GACAGAGGAGGCAAGCGUUGUCCGGACUUACUGGGCGUAAAGCGUCCGCAGGUGGUCGUGCAAGUGCCGUGUGAAAGCGCUCGGCUUAACUGAGCGAGGCCAUGGCAGACUGCUCGACUGGGAGACCGGGAGAGGUCGGUGGAAUUGCCGGUGUAGUGGUGAAAUGCGUAGAGAUCGGCAGGAACACCCCAAGGGGAAGCCAGCUGACUGGCCCGGUACGUGACACUCAGGGACGACGAGCGAUGGGGAGCCGAACC
rnacentral:rRNA from 1 species